GGUUGAUCCUGCCAGUAGUCAUAUGCUUGUCUCAAAGAUUAAGCCAUGCAUGUCUAAGUAUAAACAUCUUUAUACAGUGAAACUGCGUACAGCUCAUUAUAUCAGUUAUUAUUUAUUUGAUGGUACCUUACUACAUGGAUAACCGUAGUAAUUCUAGAGCUAAUACAUGCGUAAAGUCCCGACUUCUGGAAGGGAUGUAUUUAUUAGAUUAAAAACCAAUGCGGGCAACCGCUUCUUUGGUGAUUCAUAGUAACUUCAACGGAUCGCACGGCUUCACGUCGGCGACAGUUCAU
rnacentral:rRNA from 1 species